CGGGAGUCACUUGACCGCCGAAGUCCUUUCAAAAUAAAAGCAGAAUUAGAAAUAUGUUAGUUAAGUGGGGGAUAUCGCUCGCGACGGAACAGAGUUUAUUGACGCACGUUUAGUGAAAGAGGAGGAUGUGCUGCGGCUUUAAAACAACAGAACAGCUCGGAGAAAUACAAUAAUCUGUCCGACAGGAACACAGUUAAUCUCCGGGGAAGAUUAACUGGCUCGUUUGACGCCACGGAGGGGAUUACUGCGUGUUCCUGCCUCCUUACCCACAGGGCAAUUCAAAAACCCAGUGCUCUGGCUGUGAAGGAAGCUGCAAAGAUCAGUGACAUGACCCGUGAAGAGGAGCCCACGCUCAGCAUCAUCACGACUCGAGAGUUGCUGCUAACGGCUCAGUUGCUGAUGCAUAGCAUCGAGGAACUGCUGGACCGGUCACCAGGCCCCUCCAACCAGAGACGGUGCAGAAUGAGGCCUGUAGAGGUGGGGGUGAAAAUCCUCAGACCAACCUGUUGUGAACCGCGUGACUAUGACCAUGAACACAACUAUUCCCUAGUUUCAUGUGUGAGUAUGAACAUGUCGUCAUGUGGCUCCAUGAGGCCGGUCCUCUGACGCUGCAGCAGAGCUCCAUUUGUCUUGUUCAUCUCCUCCUGUCUUUAGGACACAAUGAAGCAGGGAGCACUCCUGCUGCGGUCAGGCAGAGUAGUCCGGGUUCAUGCAUUCUACAGGGUUCGUACGGUCAUGACUAAUCUGGAAAAGUCAUGGAAUUUUAAAAUGGUAAUUUCCAGGCCUGGAAAAGUCAUGGAAAAUACUUAAAUCACAAACGUUUUGGAAAAGUCAUGGAAAUGUGUUUUAUUCACAUGUUCAUUUACGUCGAGUUUAAAAUAAUUCAUAUGUUUUUGAAAGGAAGACUCAAAUUAUAAGCCGGCAUACGCCAAAUCCAAACAGAUGGAUUUGCACAUAAAGGAUAAUAGUUUGAUUAAAAGAAUAAACAUUUAUAUAAGUUUUUCGAAGAAUAAACAUGUAUAGUAAUGUUUAUUCUUUUAAUCAAACUAUUGUCUCAUUCAUUUGUUUCAUUUAAGGUAUAUUGUAUGCUUUGUAAUUCUCAUUGUUUGAAUACUACAUUUUCCAAGUUUUCAUGUACACACCGAGAUUUCAGUUUGGUCAUGGAAAUUUGGUUUAAAGUCAUGGAAAAGUCCUGGAAUUCCAUUGGUCAACAUGUGUACGAACCCUGAUUCUCUACUGUUGCAUAGCAACACCAUCAAUUUCCCUCUCAGCCUCAGAUGCAAACUGAGUUUCUGUCAAAGUGGUUUCCAGCUGACGUGAAGGAGAAGCUGCUGAGCCGUUUGACCGUUUAAUCCUCGCCGUGCGCUCAGAGUCGAGCCGCUCGGCUUCUUCUUCACGCUUUCCCAUCAAAGUGAUCAAGGGCCCGACGGCGUCGAACACGAGAUCCUCCUGACCGCCUGAGUGAAGAACAGACGGGGCGACGCACCAGAGCUUCAGGAAGAGACGUCAGCCUGUGGCGUGACGAUGGAGGAGCUUCUAUCUCAGGCUGCUUCACAGCUCCAAAGCACCAUCGAGGUCUUCCGGAGGCUCGUCGCAGGGUACCGUUGGGUUCUGGCGGUGGCCCGGUUCUGUGACGUUCCCUCACCUCAACCCCGCCUUCAAGAGGUUCUGAUUGGCUCAGCAGCUUCUGCUUCAUUCCUGAAAGGCCUUAAGCCUCCCGAUUAGGGCUGCAACUAGCGAUUAUUUUGAUCAUCGAUUCAUCUGUUGAUUAUUUUUUCGAUGAAUCGAUUAAUCGGAUAAAAAAAUAAAACUAAUUUUCAAGCCUUUAUUCAAAACAGGGUUCAUACGGUCAUGGAAAACCUGGAAAAGUCAAGGAGUUUUUAAAUGGCUAUUUCUCGGCCUAGAAAAGCAAUUGAAAAAAAUAAAAUCCCACAAUUUUUGAACAAGUAAUGCAAUUUUUUAAUAUUCAAAUAUUAAUUUAAACGGAAUAUAUACGGUAUGCUUUGGAAUGAUCAUUGUUAGUUUAAAUACUACAUCUUCUCACUUUGGUCCUGGAGACCCACUGGUCAGCAUGUGGAUGAACCGUCACAAACAGACUGACAGCUUUACUCUCCUGAGUUUACUCAGCCGACUGUUGAUAGGUUCUCUUUCGAACAGGAGACACACACACACACACACACACCAUUCUCUCUAUUGCGCAUACAGGCGUUGUUUUAACUGAUGUGCAAAUGGUUCUUGUUUCCUGUGCUCAGGCACACCGGGCACCGCGUGACCCAGUGUGCAUGUUGUUGUUGUUGUUGUUGUGACAGCAGGAGUGUCAGGCCAGCCUCGAGGAGGAUGGAGAGACCGUGGUCAUAGAGGGCUUCAGGUUUGAGAGUGCGGUCAGCAGGGAGGACCUGAGGAGGCUGAGACCACCGGCUGGGGGAGGAAGAGGAAGAAGAAAAAGAAGAGGAGCAAGUCCAUGGGCUCGAGGACAACGUGUCAGAAGACCGAGAGCCAAGAAACGCUGACACGUCUUAAAGAGGACGUGAGCGGCUACCCGCCGCCGCGCCGCCCCUCCCAGCGGCGCCACGCCGGCUCCCCGUAGACGAACGCUCCGCGUGUUCCUGGACGGACGCUCGAGGACAUUCAGUUAUUUGUUCAUUGCUGCUUCAGGUAAAUCCUCCUCGAGGACAUCUUAGUGAGACGGUUUUCCCGUAACUCGACGUUCGCGCGUCUCUAAAUGCUGUUUGACGUCAGAGAACGUGAGACCGACGGGACGACGGCGUGAGGACGGAGAGGACUUAUUUAUUUAACGGCUCUCGUGGCGUGUGAUCCGAACGGUGGCUCAGCAUCCCGUACUAUUGUGUAUUUAUUUAAUCUGUUGUAUUUAACUACAUAUUUAUUUUUUAUACAUUUAACACACCUUGUAUACAGCCACUCUGCGUAGGCUGGCUGUGGUCAUGGCUUCCUGUUUGAUGACAGUCCUUCCUGUUUGGGGUGUCCUCCUGCACCUCUGGUGCUCUGGAUAUUGACUCUCAGCAUACUUUGCAAUAAAGACAUUCGACAGUUA